GUCGAGCGGAACGAUGGUAGCUUGCUACCAGGCGUCGAGCGGCGGACGGGUGAGUAACGCGUGAGAAUCUGCCCAUUUGUGGGGGAUAACUCGGGGAAACUCGAGCUAAUACCGCAUAAUCCCUACGGGGGAAAGCAGGGGACCUUCGGGCCUUGUGCAGAUGGAUGAGCUCGCGUCGGAUUAGCUUGUUGGUGAGGUAAAGGCUCACCAAGGCGACGAUCCGUAGCUGGUCUGAGAGGAUGAUCAGCCACACCGGGACUGAGACACGGCCCGGACUCCUACGGGAGGCAGCAGUGGGGAAUCUUGGACAAUGGGGGCAACCCUGAUCCAGCCAUGCCGCGUGUGUGAAGAAGGCCUUCGGGUUGUAAAGCACUUUCAGUAGGGAGGAAGGCUUACCGCUAAUAACGGUGAGUACUUGACGUUACCUACAGAAGAAGCACCGGCUAAUUUCGUGCCAGCAGCCGCGGUAAUACGAAAGGUGCGAGCGUUAAUCGGAAUUACUGGGCGUAAAGCGCGCGUAGGCGGUUUGUUAAGUCAGAUGUGAAAGCCCCGGGCUCAACCUGGGAAUUGCAUUUGAAACUGGCAGGCUAGAGUGCAGUAGAGGGAGGUGGAAUUUCCGGU
rnacentral:rRNA from 1 species